rnacentral:rRNA from 1 species
CCUACGGGGUGCUGCAGUAGGGAAUUUUCGUCAAUGGGCGCAAGCCUGAACGAGCAAUGCCGCGUGAACGAGGAAGGUCUUCGGAUCGUAAAGUUCUGUUGAAGGGGAAAAAGAGCGGAGCGAGGAAAUGCUUUCUGAUUGAUAUUACCCUUCGAGGAAGUCACGGCUAACUACGUGCCAGCCGCCGCGGUAAUACGUAGGUGGCGAUCGUUAUCCGGAAUGGUUGGGCGUAAAGGGUGCGUAGGCGGCCUGCUAAGUCUGGAGUGAAAGGUACCGGCUCAACCGGUACAGGCUCUGGAAACUGGCGGGAUAGAGAGCAGGAGAGGGCGGUGGAACUCCAUGUGUAGCGGUAAAAUGCGUAGAUAUAUGGAAGAACACCAGUGGCGAAGGCGGCCGCCUGGCCUGUGACUGACGCUGAGGCACGAAAGCGUGGGGAGCAAAUAGGAUUAGAUACCCCAGUAGUC